rnacentral:lncRNA from 1 species
GCCUGUACUCAUUCUCACGCCGGAGGCGCCGCGGGGCUCAAACCCCCCUCCGGUGUUGUUUUGCAGACACCCGUCCAGCAGCUACACCGCAAGACACCGGUACACGGCGGAGGAAGCACCAGAACGGGAUUUGGCGUUAUCAUUUGGCGCUAGAAGGAGGGGGAGGUUGUAUUCUCCGUCCUGUGGUCACGGUGCCACUGGACUCAUCUUCAUCAGCAAACUCCCGAAAAGAGAGUCCCGAUUCAACCAUGUAAGCUUCAAAACGCACUCAAAUCUUUCAAAACCCUCUCAGCCAUGAUUCUCUUUGUUGUGUGCAUGUUAGCAAACCCUGUCUAGAAGAACCCUAAAUUUGUCUGUAGUACAUCAAGACACCUUGUCCUGUAGUCCCUUACACCUUUGUCAUUUAACUAUUUCUAGCAUUUCUUGAAGUAGUAAGUUGACUAUCUGCUUACACUAUUUCUAUCAUUCCACUACUGUCUAUACUGCACACAUACACUUUCACCAAAAAGCAAGCAUACUCCCUGGGUAGUUCUUGUUUGAGUUGUUCACUAUAAUCAUGACAAGGGGUGGAAAAACCCAAACCCAAUCAACCCGAUCCGAGCAGUUCAACCCGGUGGACCAGGACAAUCCACAUCAGGAUCUCAUCUCUAAACCACUCUUGACCGGGAUCAAUCCAGAAGAGACCCGGAUCAACCUAGACGAUGCCCGGGUCACAAUUGAAAUGAACCAGUUAAAGUGCAUCGAUGUCCCGGUGACCGCAGACCAUGUUACAUAUCUAACCAACAUAGAGUUGGCCGAAGCAAUCCGGUUAUACCAGGAACAACGAGCCGAGAACCUCAAAGGACCCAGG